UUCUGUGACGUCAGGACAUCUGAGGACCAUUUCACCAAUGUAACAGUAACGACCCAAUGUGACAAGUGCCUCGGGUUCCCCUGUUUCUGUGACGGUAAAGGAUGGCAGUGUCAAUGUGGGGCAGGCUACACCAUCGACAGUAAAACCCUGGGUUGCGUUGAUGUGGAUGAAUGCAAAGCUUCAGACCCGUGUCCUCCGAAUUCC